GCCAGCAUGGCCUAGUGGUUUGAGUGUUGGACUACAACUCUGGAGACCAGGGUCAAUUCCCAGUUAGGCA